CAGUAGCCGCGGGAAUACGAAGGGGGCUAGCGUUGUUCGGAUUUACUGGGCGUAAAGCGCACGUGGGCGGACUCUUAAGUCAGGGGUGAAAUCCCGGGGCUCAACCCCGGAACUGCCUUUGAUACUGGAAGUCUUGAGUAUGGUAGAGGUGAGUGGAAUUCCGAGUGUAGCAGUGAAAUGCGUAGAUAUGCGGAGGAACACCGAUGGCGAAGGCGACUCUCUGGUCUAUAACUAACGCUGAGGAGCGAAAGCGUGGGGAGCGAACAGGAUUAGAUACCCCAGUAGUCCCUGUCUCUUAUAC
rnacentral:rRNA from 1 species